CCUACGGGUGGCAGCAGUGAGGAAUAUUGGUCAAUGGGCGCGAGCCUGAACCAGCCAAGUAGCGUGAAGGAUUACUGCCCUACGGGUUGUAAACUUCUUUUAUAAGGGAAUAAAGUGAUACACGUGUGCCAUUUUGUAUGUAGUUUAUGAAUAAGGAUCGGCUAACUCCGUGCCAGCAGCCGCGGUAAUACGGAGGAUCCGAGCGUUAUCCGGAUUUGUGGGGUUUAAAGGGAGCGUAGAUGGUUUGGUAAGUCAGGUGUGAAAGUUUGCGGCUCAACCGUAAAAUUGCAAUUGAAACUGGCAGACUUGAGUACAGUAGAGGUAGGCGGAAUUCGUGGUGUAGCGGUGAAAUGCUUAGAUAUCACGAAGAACUCCGAUUGCGAAGGCAGCUUACUAGACUGCAACUGACACUGAGGCUCGAAAGUGUGGGUAUCAAACAGGAUUAGAUACCCCAGUAGUC
rnacentral:rRNA from 1 species